rnacentral:rRNA from 1 species
GACGAACGCUGGCGGCGUGCUUAACACAUGCAAGUCGAACGGAAAGGCCCCUUUGGGGGUACUCGAGUGGCGAACGGGUGCGUAACACGUGAGUAACCUGCCCUUGACUUCGGGAUAACUUCAGGAAACUGGGGCUAAUACCGGAUAGGAAUCAUUGCUGCAAGGUGGGGGUUGGAAAGCUUCGGCGGUUUUGGAUGGACUCACGGCGUAUCAGCUUGUUGGUGGGGUAGUGGCUUACCAAUGCUUUGACGGGUAGCCGGCCUGAGAGGGCGACCGGCCACAUUGGGACUGAGAGACGGCCCAGACGCCUACGGGAGGCAGCAGUGGGGAAUAUUGCACAAUGGGCGGAAGCCUGAUGCAGCAGCGCCGCGUGCGGGAUGACGGCCUUCGGGUUGUAAACCGCUUUCAGCAGGAGCGAAGCUUGUGGUGACGGUACCUGCAGAAGAAGCACCGGCUAACUACGUG